UACGUAGGGGGCAAGCGUUGUCCGGAAUCAUUGGGCGUAAAGCGCGUGUAGGCGGCUUGAUAAGUCUGCUCUGAAAGCCCGGGGCUCAACCCUGGGAGGCGGGUGGAUACUGUCGAGCUCGAGUCCGGAAGAGGCGAGUGGAAUUCCUGGUGUAGCGGUGAAAUGCGCAGAUAUCAGGAGGGACACCAAUGGCGAAGGCAGCUCGCUGGGACGGUACUGACGCUGAGACGCGAAAGCGUGGGGAGCAAACAGG
rnacentral:rRNA from 1 species